rnacentral:rRNA from 1 species
ACAUCCAGAGAAUUUAGCAGAGAUGCUUUAGUGCCUUCGGGAACUCUGAGACAGGUGCUGCAUGGCUGUCGUCAGCUCGUGUUGUGAAAUGGUUGGGUUAAGUCCCGCAACGAGCGCAACCCUUAUCCUUUGUUGCCAGCACGUAAUGGUGGGAACUCAAAGGAGACUGCCGGUGAUAAACCGGAGGAAGGUGGGGAUGACGUCAAGUCAUCAUGACCCUUACGAGUAGGGCUACACACGUGCUACAAUGGCGCAUACAAAGAGAAGCGACCUCGCGAGAGCAAGCGGACCUCAUAAAGUGCGUCGUAGUCCGGAUUGGAGUCUGCAACUCGACUCCAUGAAGUCGGAAUCGCUAGUAAUCGUAAAUCAGAAUGUUACGGUGAAUACGUUCCCGGGCCUUGUACACACCGCCCGUCACACCAUGGGAGUGGGUUGCAAAAGAAGUAGAUAGCUUAACCUUCGGGAGGGCGUUUACCACUUUGUGAUUCAUGACUGGGGUGAAGUCGUAACAAGGUAAGCGUAGUGCU